CCAAAGAACCAUCAACCGCUCGUCACGAGGUCGAGGUAGGUCCCCGGUGCUUGCACCCAGACCUCCUCUAGACUCGGAGGAGGCACUCCUUCCUUUAAACGAUUCAGGUGGAUUCUAAAGUAGCUGCUAGUGAAGCUGUGUACUCUACUUCCACUUCUAGUUACCGAUGAUGAUCAUCAUGCCGGACCCCUAGAGUGGCCGUCAAGAGCCGGGACGAUAGGAGCCGCCAGGACCUUACCCACGACUAGGACGACUACGACGACCUCCCGGACGACAGGGCGGACCGGUGCCGCAAGCGCGCGGAGACGUUGGAGGGCGGCGGGACGGGCCGCACGCGCGCCGAGCUGCGGCAGGAGCCGCCCCGCGCGGGCCCUAGGAGGAUGGCGCUGGAGGAGACGUCGAGGGUGUCCCGGCUUCGCAGCAGAAGGGCCCGCAAGACGGUACUGCCACCGUACCCGUAACCCCUGCAAAACGCUCUAGCCGAACGGCAGCUGCUGCUCUAGCUAGCGCGGCCCAUGUCACUCGACUCCCGGAGGCUGAGGCUCAGGCUCGACUCUUCUUCUAGCGGCCUCCUGCGGCGACGGUAGCUAGCCAACUUCCUCGUCGAAUGAAACUGCGUUCAAGUCUCACCGCAGGGCCUGUCUUGUGUGCGACGACUUCUAAGUUCCCUCGGCCCGUCGUAGCUCCGGCUGUAAGUCAGUUGACUAGAAGGGUGUUUUCUACUUCUUGGAGUAUGCUUCCAACGUUUACCGCAAGAAGUUAGGCUCGACUACGUUCAAGUCUCACCGUUUAAUGUGAGACUUCUAGGUCUGUUGUAAGUCUGUUCACUACAAAGUUGUUUUCUACUUCUUGGGGUAUGUCUAUGUCCUCUAGUAUUGGGUCUUCUUCUACACACCGUGCUGCGACUACUACCGCUUGGUAGACUUUGGCUUCGACGUCGCCUACUCGGCCUGGGACUUAAAAGGCUGUCUCGGUGGUGUGCCGUCCUAAGGAACUCUCAGGUGGUCGUGGACUUCGACGACGAGAGCGUCGAGAGGUGAAGCAGAAGAAAGGCCCGCGGGCUGUCGGGCUCGCACGUCCUCGUCGUCGUGCUCGUCCGGCACGACGCGUUGUAGUGGUCCCGCGAGAGGGACGUCGCCUUGAUGAGCCCGCAGAGGCUGCCGUCGCACCGGCCGCGACUUCCACUCCGACUUCUCACGCCGUGCCAACUACUCGACUUCGCCGCCCACCUCGACCUGGCGUCCAGGUACCGCGAGGAGACCUUCCUCGACCUCCUCCUCGCCUCGCGCAGCCGCCACCGCUGGUCGGUCCGGUACCGGUACUAGUGGUCCGACGUCCUCCUCUUCCGCCGGUACGCCUGCCUCCGGCGCGUCAUGGCGUCCCAGUACCUCCUCGUCUCGCGCAUGCUGGCCCUACUGCGGCUCGCCGACCGGCCGCAGCACGCCCUCGAGCUCCGGCUCCAGCUCCCUAUGUUCCGGUCCGAGUCCCUGGUGCUCUAGCAGCCUCUCUAGGCGCUGGUAUACGCCGAGGAAGGCACGGUCUCUCUUCCGCUUUGGCCGCCGCACGGGCCUCGCCGGCCUCUCCUUAAGAGGCCGCCGCCGAGGCUCCUGCUGCUCUUGCGCGCGCGGACCUUCGUCGACUCCCCCGACUGCCUGUCCGAGGUGGCCGAGAGCUUGUUGUCGUCGCCCUCGCAGGUUCUUGGCCUCGGGUGGCUGCAGCUUGUUCUUCUUCUCCCGCCGCCGCCGUUCCUCCUCCUGUGCUGCCUUCGAAGCCACCAGCCGUUCGCGCACUCCUUGCCGCUGUUGAAGUGCUUUACCGUCGUAGAAGUCAGGUAGCUCUGCUGCUCGUUCCCGAGGUGAGUGCCGGUGCCGGUGGCUCCUCUGCUGCCGCCGCCGCUCCCGCUGCUGUGCCGGCGCAACCUCCUCCUCUAGCCCCUCGAGUCGGCCGCCGACGUCCGCGACCUUCGCCUAGCCUCGAAGGACCUCGUGUCGCACUUGAGCGACUCCUUGCCCUCCCUGCCGCUCCGCCACUAGGUGCUGUAGCGAGCGUCGGAGUCUCUCGAGGCCUUCUGCGAACCUCUUCUAUGGUACCGAUCGACUUUCAAAGUCGCCGGCCCCAGUACGAGUACGUCGUAUGUGUGUGUCUCCAACAUUUAUCACUACUCCGAGCAACUGGCAUGUUAUUCGUACACACGUAUAUACCACCACCUGACCACGACCAACCAAACGUUCACCUGGUCCUAAAAAACGCAGCUCACAAACAACACGUUACGUAAUGUCUUCAUCUCACAGUACCUUAAACGUGGGCAAAGUACAUCAUGUUUAAAAAUAGAACUGCCCAAACUUUAUAACACUCCUACAUUCAUACUACGUAUUGAUGGUACCACAUUUUAAAGUCUAGUUUUAAGCUUCACGUAUAGA
rnacentral:rRNA from 1 species